GAUGAAGAACGUAGCGAAAUGCGAUAAGUAAUGCGAAUUGCAAAUUCAGUGAAUCAUCGAGUCUUUGAACGCACAUUGCGCCCCCUGGUAUUCCGGGGGGCAUGCCUGUCCGAGCGUCAUUGCUGCCCUCAAGCACGGCUUGUGUGUUGGGCCCCGUCCUCCGAUCCCGGGGGACGGGCCCGAAAGGCAGCGGCGGCACCGCGUCCGGUCCUCGAGCGUAUGGGGCUUUGUCACCCGCUCUGUAGGCCCGGCCGGCGCUUGCCGAUCAACCCAAAUUUUUAUCCAGGUUGACCUCGGAUCAGGUAGGGAUACCCGCUGAACUUAAGCAUAUCAAUAAGCGGAGGA
rnacentral:misc_RNA from 1 species